AAUGGUUAUAAUAAAUUAACUGUGGGGUAUUUUGUGCUGAAACUUCACAAAUACAUUCUGGGGACACCCAAGACCAAUAUUACAUCUUGUAAAAAGGGGCAUAGUGCCCUUUAAAGUCCGAGGACGGAGUAGUCUACGUGAAAUUGGUAGGUGGGUAUACUUUAAAACAUAUGUAAUUGCCUUAUCUGUUUUAUACAAAUGUUAUUUGCAAAGUAUAAAUACGUUUGAGUUAAUAAAUAUAUGUAUGAACAUCGGACCGGGUGAGCAUUUCCCAUUUAAGCCGCACUAACUAGAAUUUUCCUCCCGCAGCGGCGCUGGCAGACCGGCUGGACCAUCGCGUGACAGGCGGGAAGAGCCGUUGUGAAGACAAAAAGCCUACUACCUGAAAUUGCGGCUAACGUGAACUAACGUGAGACAGUCACAGGCGGGAAGAGUCGUUAUGAAGACGAAAAGCAUUCGUGAAAAUGCGGCGCUGGCAGACGGGCUGAACCAUCGUGAGACAGGGGGGAAGAGUCGUCGCAAUAAAGAAGACCCUUUUCUUUAUGGCAUGUGGUUUUAAGAUGUAAGAUGUAUUCACUGGUUAUUGUUGUAUACUGCUACUAAUUAAGUACUUUAACUCUUCAAACUUUAUUUUUAUAUUUCCAACAUUUAUUUUCCACUGGCACAAUGUGUUAAUGUGAUUUUAGUGGUAUGAAUUAAUUGUAUUUUGUUAAUUGAUGAAAUUAAUAUGCUGGUAAAUUUCUGUAUUGAAGUUCAGAAAUAUAAAAGAUGAAACCUACAUAAAGUUGAUCUGAAGCAAUAAUUUGUGUUAUUGAAUAUAUAACAGUUAACUUAAAAUAAAUAAAAAUUAACUGUGAAAAUAACUACAGUAGUUUUAAGCAUACUGUAAAAUAAAGUACAGCAUUAUACUUUAUUUUACAGUACAGUACAGUAAAACUAGUAUACUGUAGUUAUUUUUACGGUAAUUUUACUGUGGUAUUAAAUACAGCAACUACUGGAUAAUUGUUGCCAGUAAGUUACUGUUAAUUUGACAAUAAACAUUUUACAGUGUGUUUAUGACAGGAUAUGA